UACGGCUACAUCAAGUUGAAACAUCGGUUCCCAUACGAUCAGAGAUGUUAAGCAACUUUGAGCCUGUUCAGUAUCUAUAGGGGUGACCGCUUGGGAAUACCAGGUACUGUAAG